CAGUCGCCGCGGGAAUACGAAGGGGGCUAGCGUUGUCCGGAUUUACUGGGCGUAAAGCGCACGUAGGCGGAUCGAUCAGUCAGGGGUGAAAUCCUGGAGCUCAACUCCAGAACUGCCUUUGAUACUGUCGAUCUCGAGUCCGGAAGAGGUGAGUGGAACUCCUAGUGUAGAGGUGGAAUUCGUAGAUAUUAGGAAGAACACCAGUGGCGAAGGCGGCUCACUGGUCCGGUACUGACGCUGAGGUGCGAAAGCGUGGGGAGCAAACAGGAUUAGAUACCCCGGUAGUCCCUGUCUCUUAUAC
rnacentral:rRNA from 1 species